rnacentral:rRNA from 1 species
AUGGACUGGAGAGCCAAGGGAGCCGUCACUCCUGUCAAGGAUCAAGGCCAGUGUGGCUGUUGUUGGGCAUCUUCUGCUGUUGCCGCGACAGAGGGCAUUGUAAAACUGAAAACUGGGAAGUUGAUCUCACUGUCGGAGCAAGAGUUGGUUGACUGUGAUGUUCAUGGUGAAGAUCAAGGCUGCGAGGGAGGACUCCCAUAUAUUGCAGCUGACGGCAAGUGCAAGGCUGGAUCCAACAGUGCCGCAACCAUCACUGGCUUUGAGGAUGUGCCUGCCAACAACGAGGGCGCCCUUAUGAAGGCGGUGGCAAACCAACCCAUGUCUGUAGCUGUGGAUGGAGGAGACAUGACGUUCCAAUUCUACUCUGGUGGGGUCAUGACUAGCUAG